UGCAACUUUCUGAAAUUCCAGAUUGUGUCAAGUGGAGUACUUUUUUCAGCAGAUUCCUAAUAUCACAAAAGGGAUUUGCUCUGUGUCCAAGAUGAUAUUUGAGAUUGAGGCUUCAAAUGAGUUAAGCAUUGUGAUUAGGAGAGGGAGGGUGAAGAGCUUUUAAUGACUCUGUUUAGGAGUUAUUGCGGGUGGUUUUGAGGGCAGCAGGGUGAGAAACAGUGUCUACAGCACACAAGCUGAUCCACUGCAGUCAGAGAAAUGCUAUGUAACUUUCUCUCUCUAACCCAGGUGCCACUCACAAUAACACCCUUGGACUCAGUAUGAAGCCAGAGACUCAAGGACCUAGGCACACUCAGGAGAGGACAAGUAGCCGACUUGCUGGGAGUUGGCCCAUAUAACACAAAGCUCAUAUGUUGUUUUUGGUUUACUUUAUUGCAGCUGACUGAGAGGUUAACAGGCAAUCGUGGCAGAGGUGCUCUAUGGCAUACUCAUUUCAGGUCCAGCAUGGACUCACAUCACCGGUCAUCCAAAAGAUAAGUUGGGGCCACAGCCUGGAGAUGGGAUGAUAGGAGAGUAGUGGGUUGGAAAUUCCUGGGACUAGGUUUGCUGCUCUUGUGAGCCCUGUGGAGGUAUUGCAGGACCCUGUGAUGAAGCCUUAAAAUUUUCUAUUUAAAGGUUGCUUCUGAGUAGCCCUCAGGAAUGACCAAGGAGUUGUGGUGAGUCGGGGAGGUAUUGAGGAGGAGCCGGGGUCCGCUCAGUUCUCAGCUGUGCUACAUCACCUCGUCUCCUCUGAGACGACGGCGUCAGUCUCGGAGUUCGGCCGAAGCGUGCGGCCUGAGGAGCCGGUCACUCUUAGGAGGCGGAGACGACAGCCCAGUGACAGCAGGAACCUCCCAGACAGCCUGGUGGCCUUCCUUUGCACCCGAUGUGGAUUCUCAUUCCUGGACAGCCAAGAGAUAAGUCGAGGGCUAUGACUCAGAGGGGAUGGAAGGGGGCUGCUGCAUCAGGACUCCCUGGGACGGAUUUUUGAGUCAUGCUUGGAGAUGAGGCUAUCCAGGAAAAGUCAUCUUACGGCCACACAAAAGCCAAGUGUCACUUUUGAUCCCAGUGCUGUGGUCAGCAGGGCAGAGCAGUCCCGGUGUGUAUUGUGUCACUUGUCUAUUGUGCAUUAUGUGUUGUUUGGGUAUCUCAUGUCUUUUACCGUAGCCCUUUGAGUGGCCUGUCAGAAACCCUGGCAUCAUUCUUGGCAUCUGUCAUCUCUGCAUUUCUUGGCCUGGCACCAAUGCCAUAGGACUUUUGUCUCAGGCUCUCUGAUAGGCAUGAGAAGCGCAUCUCUCUUUAGGAGCUUCGGGUCAGAUAUCUUUGAAGGUCUUGUUCUGAGCUGAAGGGACAGCUGCAGCCCACAAGGAUCCAUUAUUGCGUAUUCGGACUUGUAAGGAAGCAAGGAUAGGUAGAGGAUUCUGACCGUACGAUUCUUGGGCAUCCAUCUUUGCAGUUCUUGCAAUAAAUCAAUCAGUUAGCAUCUUCUUCCUCCAGGGUUCUGUGAGCCUCAUCAGCUCGCUGUUGGUCUCACCUCAGUCCUCUCAUUUUGCAAUCUCUCGGUCCUUGCAGUCAUUCUUCUUGCCAAGAGAUUUCUGUCCCUGUUGUGUCCCCAUUGUUUGUCACGUCCUGUCCUGUGUCACGGGUGUCUGCACAUAUUUGUGCUGGAGCUGCUCUGCCCUGCAGCAUAGCCUGGUGUGACAGGACAAAUCCUGGGGGCUUGAAAUUUGUAGUGUGGGGUGUCGUUGGAUUCCAGAUAGGAUUUGUAGAUGGGCACAAGAUGUUUGGAGGUGUGAAGUUAUCCUGCAGCCGAUAGACCUUUGUCCUGACUUUCUUUCAGAUGCAGAUGGAUAAAAUCCAUGGCAGAGCACCCCAUCCCAGGAAGUAAAGCCAUCUAGCAGCAGCCAAGGCAAAGUGGGCAAAGCAAUCCAUUUGGAGUAUACGUGACUCUGUCACACACUGGCCAAUGGACUGUGAUCGUUGCUCUUUAGAGAUCUGUGGAAGUAUUACUGGACUCGGUGAUGAAGCCUCUGCCUUUUCUAUUUAAAGGAGUAUUCCGGGUGGCCUUUGGCAAUGCCUGAGGAGUUGUGCUGAGUCGGGAAUAGGGAGGAGGAGCGGGGGUCCACUCUGGUUCCAGCAAUGCCACAUCACCUUUUCUCCUCUCAACCGAGGCGAACCUUGCGACGAUGGUGUCAGCCUCUGAGUGCAGCCGAAGCGUGCGGCAUUCAUAAGAGACCCAGGCAUUGCUAGGAGAACGCUGACUAAGAGACAACGGCCCGGUGACAGCAGGAACUUCCCAGGCAGCCUUCUUUGGCACCUGACCCAGACCAUCAUCCGCAGAUAAGUCGAGGGCUAUGACCCAGAGAGGGCAUGGUAGUGGGGUGCUGGGUUGGAACUCACAGGGAGGGGUUUUUGAGUCAGCUUUGCGGAUGAGGAUAUCCAAGAAGUGUCCCCUUAGGCCACAUAAAGGGAAAGCGUCACUUUUGAUCCCAGCGCUGACGUGCGCAGGGCAGAGCAGUUCCGGUGUGUAGCAUGUCACUUGUGAGUCGUGCCUUGUGUUGUUUGUAUGUCUCAUGUUGCACAUCUUUUACCUUAGCCCUUUGAGUGGCCUAUCAGAAACCCCGGCAUCAUUCUUAGCAUCUGUGACCCUGCGUUCCUUGGUCUGGCACCAGUGCCAUAGGACUUUUGACUCAGGAGCUCAGACAGGCAUCGGAAUUGCAUUUCUCAUUAGGAGCAUCCAGUCUGAUGUCUUUGAAGGUCUUGUUCCGAGCCGUACAGACAGCUGUGCCUCACACGGAUCCAUUAUUGAAGAUUAGGAGUUGUAAGAACGUGAGGAUACGUAGAGGAUUCUGACCGCAGCAUUCACAGGCAUCCAUCUUUGCAGUUCUUUGAAGAAAAGAUUCAGUUAGCAUCUUCGUCCUCCAGGGUUCUCUGAGCCUCAUCGGCUCACCAUCGGUCUCACCUCAGUCAUUUCAUUUCGGAUUCUGUCAGUCCUUGCAGUCAUUCUUCUUACCAAGUGAUUUCUGGUCCUGUUGUAUCCCCUUUGUUUGUCACGUCCUGUCCUGUGUCACGGGUGUCUGCACAUAUUUGUGCCAGAGCUGCUCUGCCCUGCCGCAUAGCCUGGCACGAUAGGACAAAUCCUGGGGGCUUGCAAUUUGUAGUGUGGGGUGUCGUUGGAUUCCAGAUAGGAUUUGUAGAUUGGCACAAGAUGUUUGGAAAUAUCUCAGAGGA